rnacentral:lncRNA from 1 species
UGAAAGACCAAGAUUGGAAUGACUUUUUGUAACAAGUGUGCUCGCAGAUCGACUCCAGUGAGAAGAGCUCGGGGACCUCCUGAGCCAAGUUUAAUCUCCUUUGCUAUUUGUGCAUGGUGGCUGGUCACCAGGAGGUGGCCACCAGGCUUCUCCUUUCCCCGCUGUUCUAAUUGCUAAUCCAGUAUUUGCGGAUAGCUCCAAACUGGGAUAUUGUUCUCAGGCGCUGUGGUCUCACCUUCCACUGGGGCAACAAUGGGCCAUUUCCAGCAGGGACGGCGCAGUGUUGGCCUGCAUGCCUGACUGCCACACACCUCCAGAAUCAGGUGUCUGAAAAAAUCAGCUUGUCUGUGCCUACAAAGAAACCUGCUGGAGUGUUGACUGGGAUUGCAUUGAAUUUAUAGAUCAGUGUGACUAUACUUGACAUCUUAACUGUGGUAUAUCUUAAAAUCCAUAAAAACAAUACAUCUCUCUAUUUAUUUAGGUC